ACCCGGACCUCGGCCUCCCGCGCCUCCCGCUGCCCCAGCCGCGCCCGGGGACCUCGGGCAGCCCGCGGGCCGGACGUGAACUUGACCCUGCGCUGUGCCCGCCUGGACCGCGGCGCGCUCGGGACGAUCUGAUUGAGCUUCUAGAGCCUCAGAGAUGGAAUUCGCCGUUUUGCCGCGAUUUGGCGUUAACUUAUUGACCCAUGGGGAGGAGGGUCACUUCCCGUGAAAAGGUAUAAAAUGAAGUUGUCAGUCUCUCUUUUUAAUUAAAAAAAAAAAAAAUCUCUGCAAAGAUUCUGCAUUCUGGCUUCUCUUUGCUAAAUUAAAGUGGCAUGUGUUUUUAUUUUAGAAGGCAGAGAUGUUUUGCUGUGCCCAGUGUGAGGAAGCGAAGGAAAAGAAAGAUCUUUUGAAAAUGUGUACAUCUACUUGCAGCUUGAAAAUUCCAAGUGCCAGACAUUUUUCUUGGAGGAAAUAAAUGUCUUCAAUUUAUUCAUCUUACCUGUUGAUUAUGUUCUGUAAUGAUUUAUUUUAUAAUUUAAUCCUUGUCUAGAACCGAGGCCAUCUUUGGAAAGUAAAAGACCUAGGUCUCUUUGGUCCAGGAGACAUUGUGGCCCUCUCUUAAAAUCAUUGACUGCCGAGAUCUGGGCCCAGGCGGCUCUCGGACUGAACCGGUCUGUGCUAGGCAGCCUGGCCCACUCGGCCUUCAAAACACAAGGGAUGGGAGACAUAUGCUCGGCUCACAUCGUUUUGUUUUGAUUUAUUUUAAACUGCUUAAGAUGAUUUUAGCACAAGGAGUGGUGUAUCUUACUUGCAUUCUGAGAGCCACUGGAUUUGCAAGCUAGAGUACAAUUUUUUUUUUAAUCCAAAUUUAGAAAUUGCCUUUUAGAGUAGACAACAGCAUGCUACUUUGCCUUUUAACUCACUUUUAAAGAACGAUUCUUAAGAUCAAGUACAUUGAAUUUGGAGAUUGGUCCCCCUCCGUUAUUAGGGGCUGGAAAUGGCCCACUUUUCAAAAAUAAGGUCAGAAAAGGGGUGUUUCUGACCUAAGAGUUCUUCCAGGCUGGGCUCGUACCACAGAGAUUCUUCCACACCCAUGUCCUGAGUCCUUGUCCUACACACCAUUUUUUCUUCCAAGGAGAAGGAGUGUGGCAUUCAGUUCCAGUGUCAUCGUGUGGAAAAGAGUCCCUGCCUGGCUGAGAAACUGUCACAGGCAGCCGGGCCACUUCCCAGCAUGACCCACAAGCCCGAUGGUGCCCCUCGAAUGGUUAAGGGACCCGUACAGAUACCAUUCUUUUAAAGCAAGCCAAUGCAAUCUUCACGAAUUGCAGUUCCACCCUGGCUGCUGGUACUAACUCUAAUAAUGGAAAAAAAUUUAAAAGAUUGGGGACAACAGGAAACACAUUGGAUCCCCAGGGGAAACGGCCUGGAAGCUACAGUAGAGACAUGGGUGACCCAAGGGCUCUGUUCAAGUCCUGGGGCUGUUCCCUUUAUUCCUCCAAGCCUCAGCUCCCCGGAUUUAAAGUGAGAACAGCACCCAGCCCAGCCCACUGUCAAGGGCUGUUGCAGGAAUAUGACAACAGCCACCAAUAUUUGCAUAGCAGAGAUGCCCAGUUUCGUUUUCUAUUUGAAAGUUUCUCUGAAGGGGGAUGUGCUAGAGACACGAGAACAACUGCUACCAUCUUAAUAACUUUUCUGGCAAUACACGACGAUGAUUGUUUAUGUUAAUCUCAUAACUAUUAACAAUAAUUCAUUUCAUUCUCAUAAUGAAUUAUAUCUAUUUGACUUAUAAUAAAUAGAAUCAUAUCAGUAAUAUAGUCCUUUUCUGAUCAUGAAAGCAACAUAUGCUCACUAUAGAAAAUUUGGAAAAUACAGAAAAAUGCACAUAAGGGAAAAAUUAUUCAUCCUUUCUCCCACGCAGAGACAAGCUCUGGUCACAUUUUCCUGUGUUUCCUUCCAGGCUCUGCUCUCUGCCGAGCGGCUUUCAUCAAUUCUCCUAGCAUCUAUUUUCAGAUAACUCCGUGGGCUUUUGUGAUUGGUCCUCCUUGUCGCCUUGGCCCCUCUGGUCCUCAGUGGCAGUUCUUUCUCUCUUGCUGCCUCCUUCAGGAGGGCCCGGCUCAGGGUCUGGGUGUUCAGGGAGAAGACCUCAGGCUCCACGGCACCCAGCCUCCUUGUCCUGCUGUGCUGGGAGCCCGGUUGGGGUAGCCCAGAUACACGGCCAGCACAGCCCCACGGCAAAGCCAGGCCUGCAGGUGGGCUCAGGGCAUCAGGGAGCCGGAGUGAGUGGCAUGAAACCCAUUAUCUCGCAGGGCCCGAGCUGUGGAGGUGAGCGCGCUAGGCCUUCCCAUGCAGGAGAGGGCUGGGAGGUGGGAAGAUGCAGGCAGGCUGUCCCCGACAGAAAACCCAGGAACACUGCAGCACGGAUUGGGAGGGGGGCGCUGAGAGAGUGUAAAAAGCAGCUUCAAUGCUUGAAUUCUAAGCAAAGAAAGAUGCUUGGGCCAAAUCAAACCGCUUCUUAGACGUGCAAAGUUUCAUCGGAACUGUUGGGAUAAUGUUUCCAAGGUGUUCAGCUUUAUGGCCCUGACUUACACCCGCCGCGUGGUUGGGGGUUAGUGCCAAGUGGCUUGGUAGGCAGAAAUCCACCAGAACUUCAGUGCAAGGGCACAAUCCCCCAAUAGCAUGUCACAAUCAUGCAUGUGCCUUGGCCGACCCCACAAGUCCAUCAGGAAAAAGUUCCACAGAACCAGGCCUCUGGAGGGGGAACCACACAGACCUCCCUAUUGCCUUCUGAGUAACUGAUCCAAAGGCAUUUCUAGAAUAGCCGGGUACGUUCAUGAUAGGAGAAAUGAAGUCUAUGGGGUCUACCUUUACCCGCUUAGAAUAAUGCAGUGGCCUCAACGUCUUAACAAUAGAUCAUUUGAGAUUUAUUAAUAACCCAAGUUGCAGACAAACUUCAUAGGCAAGAUCAUAGGUUGCAGUGUUCACUACAGUAUACAAAUAUUAGCAAGACAUGACAUAGGGAAUCAUAGGGGACAUGACAGUAAAUUAUCCCAUAGUGAAAUAAUGGAACAUUGUGUCACCGUUAAAACGGUGGUGACAUUUUGGGAGGCCAAGGCGGGUGGAUCACCUGAGGUCAGGAGCUCGAGACCAGCCUGGGCAACAUGGUGAAACCCCGUCUCUACUGAAAAUACAAAAAUUAGCCGGACGUGGUGGCUUGUGCCUGUAAUCCCAGCUAGUCGGGAGGCUGAGGCAGGAGAAUCGCUUGAACGCAGGAGGUGGAGGUUGCAGUGAGCCGAGAUUGCGCCAUUGCACUCCAGCCUGGGUGACAAGAGCGAAACUCCAUCUCAAUAAAUAAAUAAAUAAUAAUAAAAUGGUAUUGACAAAAAGUUUGGAAUGGUAUGGGUGUGUACGGGAUACAACACCUUCCUACAGUAUGUACAUAUGUAAGGCAUGUCUGUGUAUGUAUAUGUGUGCUGAACAAUGGUUGGGAGGGAAAUACAACAGAAUAUUAUUUCUGGAUUGCGGCAUGUAGGUGAAUUUUCCUUUUUUUGUGUAUUUUAUACUUAACCCAUAUUUUUUAUUUACUACUGAAAUUAUAUCUUAAAUAUCUGUCUUUAUAUUUUAUUCUUAAAUUGCGUAUAAUUUACACUUUCCUGUGCCUUCAUUAAACACGUGGUAUAUUUAUAAUCAGGGAAAAACUAUUUUUAAAGACUCAUUAUAGGAAGAUAGACAAAUAGAGACAAAUGGCAUGCUUUCUUUCAGUCAUUGGGGAUGGAUGAUACACGUAGCAGAAGUAUUCGUUAGACCAACAAAUAGGAAUAGUAAGUCAAUAUUGUUCUUUCUUUAAUAAAAGAUUUAUAUGUUGGUAGCUUAUUAAUCCAAUACUAUGUGAGUUUUCUAACCAAACACAUAUACUUGUACGCCAGGGCAGAAAAAUCUCAAUUAAGAUUUUGUGUGGACUCGGGAAGUGUUUUUGUUCCCUAAACAAUAGCCUUAAGAAGGGUGGAAAAAGGCCCGUCUUCUUCUUGGAUCCUUGGUUGGGUGACAACCCUCCGGUGGUGAGACAUGGUGCCUGAUUUUCAGUUGGGGCUUUCUGCUUCCCCUGUUUGGUUUUCUAGGGACAAUUUAAAAGAUUCUGCAAGUUAAUUACUGGAGAAGUCCGUAGAUCCUGGAUUCAUAGUAUCAGAUUAAUUGUGGUCUUUGAGUGGGAAUCCUAGUGGUUUAUUUAGACUCAUCAGUUGUCUUAUUCUUUUUUUUAAAAAGAAAGAAAACAUUUAUUUUCGUAAGCUUGUAUUGCCCUUAAAAUAUUUCUCUGCACUCUUAGGUCACCUGCCUAUUCACGCCAGGAGCGCAUCGCUUGCGUUAAGAGACUAGAAGUUUCUUUCUUAACCAUAAUGUGCCAGGAUUUUGUUAUACGGAAAAAUCUGUCCGUGUUUCCAACUAAUAUUUCCUAGCCUUCAGGCAAGUGCGACUUGCUUCACUGUAAAAUGGAUUCCCAGGACCUGCCGUAUCGGGACGGGCAGAAUUCUUUAAAAUGCAGUGCCCCGGGCAACCCCAUCACUUCCCGGCUGGCUCCGGGCGGUCCCGGGCUGCCCGCCGGCCGCAGAGC
rnacentral:lncRNA from 1 species